rnacentral:snRNA from 1 species
CAGCUUACCUGGCAGGGGAGACAUGAUGAUCAACCACAUGGUUUUCCGAGGGUGAGGCCUGCCCUUUGCACUCCAGGCAGGCUGACCCCUGAAAUUUCCCCAAGGCAGUUUUCCCAGGGUGAGACCUGUCCAUUGCACUAUGGGCAGGUUGACCCCUGUGAGUUCCCCUGGAUGUGGGAAACUCGACUACACAAUUUUGUGGCAACGGGGAGCUGUGUUCACACUUCUCCCAU